GUUCCUGUGUGAUGGGGCCGGAGCCAGUAAACAGGCUUCCUUCUCGCUCUGCUGUAUAAGAAGAAGAAGUAGGAGAAACAAAAUAAGGAGGAGAAGAAGUAAAAUAAUUUGAGAAGGAAUAUGAAGGGGCUGAAAUCCUGGGCUUUCUGGGCAGAAGGAUCUACGAGCGGGAUCGUGGGUGAAACAUGAAGAUGAUGGUGGACAGGUGAGCUACGCAGUUCGUGGAAGAACCAGGGGUCACAUGGCCUAGAUGCUACCCUAGAUGAGAAAGAGUCCAAUGGUUAUCAACAAGUUCUGAAAGGCAAGGCCUAAGACAGUUUCUUUCAUUCUUUUCUCUCAAUUAUGGAACCCCUGACUUGCAACUGACCUGGGCCCAGUGAAAGCUAAUAGUUCCAAUCCUGGCUCUUUGCCCAGUUGCAUCAAAGAAGACCACACAGU
rnacentral:lncRNA from 1 species